AGGACACUGGUGUCAGGUUACCGAACCUAGUUCUUCAACUCAACAUUUUUACUAUCACUCUUAUUAGCCCUAGAUUCUAGAUUUUGCACUUGGCUUUUAAGAUCACUCACUCCCUAGACAGCUCGUCCUUCUCAUUGUUAAUUAUCUCAGACUCAUCAAUGAAGUCUAACAAUAAUUCAGACAACCUUUCUUUAGACAAUAAUUUGAUCUUGUCUUUUUGAGAUGAAGCACACUUACC
rnacentral:lncRNA from 1 species